rnacentral:rRNA from 1 species
UACGUAGGGUGCGAGCGUUGUCCGGAAUUAUUGGGCGUAAAGAGCUCGUAGGCGGUGUGUCACGUCGUUCGUGAAAACCUGCAGCUUAACUGUGGGCUUGCGGUCGAUACGGGCAUCACUGGAGUUCGGCAGGGGAGACUGGAAUUCCUGGUGUAGCGGUGAAAUGCGCAGAUAUCAGGAGGAACACCAAUGGGCGAAGGCAGC